UUUUCCCAGUGGGGACAGGCCCUGAGUGAGGAUCUUCACCCCAGAGACUGCAAUGGGCUGAGGACAGUGGCACGUGCUUGGGCAGCCCUGGCAUCACUUAACCCCAGAAGACACCAGUGCCC
rnacentral:lncRNA from 12 species